rnacentral:rRNA from 1 species
CCUACGGGAGGCUGCAGUGAGGAAUAUUGGUCAAUGGACGAGAGUCUGAACCAGCCAAGUAGCGUGAAGGAUGACUGCCCUAUGGGUUGUAAACUUCUUUUAUAUGGGAAUAAAAUGUUCCACGUGUGGGUUUUUGUAUGUACCAUAUGAAUAAGGAUCGGCUAACUCCGUGCCAGCAGCCGCGGUAAUACUGAGGAUCCGAGCGUUAUCCGGAUUUAUUGGGUUUAAAGGGAGCGUAGAUGGAUUGUUAAGUCAGUUGUGAAAGUUUGCGGCUCAACCGUAAAAUUGCAGUUGAAACUGGCAGUCUUGAGUACAGUAGAGGUGGGCGGAAUUCGUGGUGUAGCGGUGAAAUGCUUAGAUAUCACGAAGAACUCCGAUUGCGAAGGCAGCUCACUGGACUGCAACUGACACUGAGGCUCGAAAGUGUGGGUAUCAAACAGGAUUAGAUACCCGAGUAGUC